rnacentral:rRNA from 1 species
CCUACGGGCGGCAGCAGUCGAGAAUCAUUCACAAUGGGGGAAACCCUGAUGGUGCGACGCCGCGUGGGGGAAUGAAGGUCUUCGGAUUGUAAACACUUGUCAUGUGGGAGCAAAUUAAAAAGAUAGUACCACAAGAGGAAGAGACGGCUAACUCUGUGCCAGCAGCCGCGGUAAUACAGAGGUCUCAAGCGUUGUUCGGAAUCACUGGGCGUAAGGCGUGCGUAGGCUGUUUCGUAAGUCGUGUGUGAAAGGCGCGGGCUUAACCCGCGGACGGCACAUGAUACUGCGAGACUAGAGUAAUGGAGGGGGAACCGGAAUUCUCGGUGUAGCAGUGAAAUGCGUAGAUAUGGAGAGGAACACUCGUGGCGAAGGCGGGUUCCUGGACAUUAACUGACGCUGAGGCACGAAGGCCAGGGGAGCGAAAGGGAUUAGAUACCCCGGUAGUC